rnacentral:rRNA from 1 species
UACGUAGGGUGCAAGCGUUGUCCGGAAUUAUUGGGCGUAAAGAGCUCGUAGGCGGUCUGUCGCGUCGGCUGUGAAAACUGGAGGCUCAACCUCCAGCCUGCAGUGGGUACGGGCAGACUAGAGUGCGGUAGGGGAGAUUGGAAUUCCUGGUGUAGCGGUGGAAUGCGCAGAUAUCAGGAAGAACACCCGUGGCGAAGGCGGCUCUCUGGAACGCAACUGACGCUGAGACGCGAAAGCGUGGGGAGCGAACAGG